GACGUCAAACCGAUAAAACAGCAGUGUAAAGUGAGCCGCAGGGCGCUUUGCGCGACAGCGCAAAGGCAGGCGGUUUCGCGUAGCGAAAGCGAAUGCUUUGGGGUGGGGUGACUGCGUACCUUUUGUAUAAUGGGUCAGCGACUUAUAUUCUGUAGCAAGGUUAACCGAAUAGGGGAGCCGGAGGGAAACCGAGUCUUAAUUGGGCGUUAAGUUGCAGGGUAUAGACCCGAAACCCGGUGAUCUAGCCAUGGGCAGGUUGAAGGUUGGGUAACACUAACUGGAGGACCGAACCGACUAAUGUUGAAAAAUUAGCGGAUGACCUGUGGCUGGGGGUGAAAGGCCAAUCAAACCGGGAGAUAGCUGGUUCUCCCCGAAAGCUAUUUAGGUAGCGCCUCGUGAAUUCAUCUCCGGGGGUAGAGCACUGUUUCGGCUAGGGGGCCAUCCCGGCUUACCAACCCGAUGCAAACUGCGAAUACCGGAGAAUGUUAUCACGGGAGACACACGGCGGGUGCUAACGUCCGUCGUGAAGAGGGAAACAACCCAGACCGCCAGCUAAGGUCCCAAAGUCAUGGUUAAGUGGGAAACGAUGUGGGAAGGCCCAGACAGCCAGGAUGUUGGCUUAGAAGCAGCCAUCAUUUAAAGAAAGCGUAAUAGCUCACUGGUCGAGUCGGCCUGCGCGGAAGAUGUAACGGGGCUAAACCAUGCACCGAAGCUGCGGCAGCGACACUGUGUGUUGUUGGGUAGGGGAGCGUUCUGUAAGCCUGUGAAGGUGUGUCGUGAGGCAUGCUGGAGGUAUCAGAAGUGCGAAUGCUGACAUAAGUAACGAUAAAGCGGGUGAAAAGCCCGCUCGCCGGAAGACCAAGGGUUCCUGUCCAACGUUAAUCGGGGCAGGGUGAGUCGACCCCUAAGGCGAGGCCGAAAGGCGUAGUCGAUGGGAAACGGGUUAAUAUUCCCGUACUUGGUGUUACUGCGAAGGGGGGACGGAGAAGGCUAUGUUGGCCGGGCGACGGUUGUCCCGGUUUAAGCGUGUAGGUGUGUGUUCCAGGUAAAUCCGGUUCACUUUAACACUGAGGCGUGACGACGAGGCACUACGGUGCUGAAGCAACAAAUGCCCUGCUUCCAGGAAAAGCCUCUAAGCAUCAGGUAACAUCAAAUCGUACCCCAAACCGACACAGGUGGUCAGGUAGAGAAUACCAAGGCGCUUGAGAGAACUCGGGUGAAGGAACUAGGCAAAAUGGUGCCGUAACUUCGGGAGAAGGCACGCUGACACGUAGGUGAAGUGAUUUACUCAUGGAGCUGAAGUCAGUCGAAGAUACCAGCUGGCUGCAACUGUUUAUUAAAAACACAGCACUGUGCAAACACGAAAGUGGACGUAUACGGUGUGACGCCUGCCCGGUGCCGGAAGGUUAAUUGAUGGGGUCAGCGCAAGCGAAGCUCCUGAUCGAAGCCCCGGUAAACGGCGGCCGUAACUAUAACGGUCCUAAGGUAGCGAAAUUCCUUGUCGGGUAAGUUCCGACCUGCACGAAUGGCGUAAUGAUGGCCAGGCUGUCUCCACCCGAGACUCAGUGAAAUUGAACUCGCUGUGAAGAUGCAGUGUACCCGCGGCAAGACGGAAAGACCCCGUGAACCUUUACUAUAGCUUGACACUGAACAUUGAGCCUUGAUGUGUAGGAUAGGUGGGAGGCUUUGAAGUGUGGACGCCAGUCUGCAUGGAGCCGACCUUGAAAUACCACCCUUUAAUGUUUGAUGUUCUAACGUGGACCCGUUACCCGGGUUGCGGACAGUGUCUGGUGGGUAGUUUGACUGGGGCGGUCUCCUCCUAAAGAGUAACGGAGGAGCACGAAGGUUGGCUAAUCCUGGUCGGACAUCAGGAGGUUAGUGCAAUGGCAUAAGCCAGCUUGACUGCGAGCGUGACGGCGCGAGCAGGUGCGAAAGCAGGUCAUAGUGAUCCGGUGGUUCUGAAUGGAAGGGCCAUCGCUCAACGGAUAAAAGGUACUCCGGGGAUAACAGGCUGAUACCGCCCAAGAGUUCAUAUCGACGGCGGUGUUUGGCACCUCGAUGUCGGCUCAUCACAUCCUGGGGCUGAAGUAGGUCCCAAGGGUAUGGCUGUUCGCCAUUUAAAGUGGUACGCGAGCUGGGUUUAGAACGUCGUGAGACAGUUCGGUCCCUAUCUGCCGUGGGCGCUGGAGAACUGAGGGGGGCUGCUCCUAGUACGAGAGGACCGGAGUGGACGCAUCACUGGUGUUCGGGUUGUCAUGCCAAUGGCACUGCCCGGUAGCUAAAUGCGGAAGAGAUAAGUGCUGAAAGCAUCUAAGCACGAAACUUGCCCCGAG
rnacentral:rRNA from 1 species